GAUAAGAGCUACAAAGGAGACGUAAGGACCAUGAGCUUGUCUUACAGGAGGGGUGUGUGUGAAGGGAGAUAAUUUCUUGGAGAAGAUGACAUCUGGGCUGAGUUCUCAAAGAUGAAUAUGCAUUAGCCAGGCUAAAUGGAGGUGCAGAGUGGUGCAUCCUGAAGGAAGAGCCUUUGCGAGGACUGAGGCAGAACGAAUGUAGAAAAGGCAAGAAGAGAAGAAAGUACUCAUGGCAGAGGGGAGAGCAGAGGCAAGAUGGAAUGCAGCCUAUUAGAGGAAAUGUGACUGGAGCAUGUGGUGCAAGUGGAGAGGUGAGAUGUGAAGGUGGAACAAAGAUGCCAGGUCCCAUAAGCCAUCAUAAAGGCAGUGUAGAGCCAUUGAAGGAUUUUAGGAUGGAGAGUGGUAGCUUCAGAAUUUGUAUGUUAGUUAGAUCCAGUUCUUGGAGAAUGGAUUGGAGGAGAAAAGUGGAGGUUAGGGGACCGAGAGAGAGAUGUUU
rnacentral:lncRNA from 1 species